GUCCAGACUCCUACGGGAGGCAGCAGUGAGGAAUAUUGGUCAAUGGCCGUAAGGCUGAACCAGCCAAGUAGCGUGAGGGAAGACUGCCCUAUGGGUUGUAAACCUCUUUUAUGCGGGGAUAAAGGUGUCCACGUGUGGAUGUUUGCAGGUACCGCAUGAAUAAGGAUCGGCUAACUACGUGCCAGCAGCCGCGGUCAUACGUAGGAUCCGAGCAUUAUCCGGAGUGGCUGGGUGUAAAGAGUUGCGUAGGUGGCAUAGUAAGUAGCUAGUGAAAUCUGGUGGCUCAACCAUUCAGACUAUUAGCUAAACUGCUAAGCUCGAGACCGUUAGGGGUAACUGGAAUUUCUAGUGUAGGAGUGAAAUCCGUAGAUAUUAGAAGGAACACCGAUAGCGUAGGCAGGUUACUGGGACGGUUCUGACACUAAGGCACGAAAGCGUAGGGAGCAAACGGGAUUAGAUACCCCAGUAUAC
rnacentral:rRNA from 1 species